rnacentral:rRNA from 1 species
GAGCUGUAAGUAAGCGUUGAUCCAGAGAUUUCCGAAUGGGGAAACCCAGCAUGAGUUAUGUCAUGUUAUCGAUAUGUGAAUACAUAGCAUAUCAGAAGGCAGACCCGGAGAACUGAAACAUCUUAGUACCCGGAGGAAGAGAAAGAAAAAUCGAUUCCCUGAGUAGCGGCGAGCGAAACGGGAAGAGCCCAAACCAACAAGCUUGCUUGUUGGGGUUGUAGGACACUCUAUACGGAGUUACAAAAGUAUAUAUUAGACGAAUCAUCUGGAAAGUUGAAUCAAAGAAGGUAAUAAUCCUGUAGUCGAAAAUAUAUACUCUCUUGAGUGGAUCCUGAGUACGACGGAGCACGUGAAAUUCCGUCGGAAUCUGGGAGGACCAUCUCCUAAGGCUAAAUACUCUCUAGUGACCGAUAGUGAACCAGUACCGUGAGGGAAAGGUGAAAAGUACCCCGGAAGGGGAGUGAAAGAGAACUUGAAACCGUGUGCUUACAAGUAGUCAGAGCCCGUUAAUGGGUGAUGGCGUGCCUUUUGUAGAAUGAACCGGCGAGUUACGAUUUGAUGCAAGGUUAAGCAGCUAAUGUGGAGCCGUAGCGAAAGCGAGUCUGAAUAGGGCGUUUAGUAUUUGGUCGUAGACCCGAAACCAGGUGAUCUACCCUUGGUCAGGUUGAAGUUCAGGUAACACUGAAUGGAGGACCGAACCGACUUACGUUGAAAAGUGAGCGGAUGAACUGAGGGUAGCGGAGAAAUUCCAAUCGAACUUGGAGAUAGCUGGUUCUCUCCGAAAUAGCUUUAGGGCUAGCCUCAAGUGAUGAUUAUUGGAGGUAGAGCACUGUUUGGACGAGGGGCCCUUCUCGGGUUACCGAAUUCAGACAAACUCCGAAUGCCAAU